UGUUCCCAUCCCGAACACAGUAGUUAAGCUCUUUAGCGCCGAUGGUAGUUGGGGGUUUCCCCCUGUGAGAGUAGGACGUUGCCAAGC
rnacentral:rRNA from 1 species